AGGUCCUUUCAUAAAGGGCCUAUUGGGUGUGAACCCAGGAGCUCCUAAUUCUCUGACAUUCAGGAUAGCACAGUCUCCUCAAUAGUGCUGUUUUCCUGAGGGGAUAUAAGA
rnacentral:snoRNA from 1 species